CAGAUGCUUCCAAGUUACCAUCUGGGUGGAGUAGAUAUGCCGAGUUCACCUUGACUGUCGUUAAUCAAUUUAACAGCGACAAAUCCAUAACCAUAGGUAUAUUUCUUCUUUAAUUUACAUGCAUCUUGUUGGUCUCUCUCACUUCUUCUCUUAUUCGAUUGCUACCUUAUUCCUUGAUUCAGUAGAAUGAUUCUACUUUAGAUUGCUACUCUGACUCUGUGUGUGCUUUGCCUAGCUUUUCUUUACUUCAAGCCACUAUGUUAAUUAGUCUCUGAUUGAUUAUCUAUUUCAGUGAAUCUGAUAAGUUAACCAAACACUGUACGUUUGCUCAUUUCUGUCUGGUUUAUCCUUGAUAUCUUGAUUUACAGACACUCAGCAUCAGUUUAGUGCAAAGAAAAGUGAUUGGGGCUUCACAUCAUUCAUGCCUCUAAAUGAGCUUUAUGACCAGAAUGAAGGUUAUAUUGUGGAUGACAUAUGUAUUGUCGAAGCUGAGGUUGCAGUCAGUAAAGCUGACAUUAAGGUUCUAAAAGAUCAAGAAACUGCCUUUCUCGAGCAGGAACUUCAAAGUCAGUCUUCAGACGUGGAUUCUGUGAAAUAUUCUGACGUUUCGACAACACAUACAUCACUUUGUUAUGAACAGAUGCUUGCUUUACAUAAUUCACUAAUUCCUGACCCUGUUCAGACAAAUGUUGAUUCUCCGCAAGCUCCAAGCCUGAAAAUAAUACCAAGAUCUGAUGAAGUGCUUCCUUACCAGGAGACUGAUAGCCCAGUUGGCCCUCCCAUAGUCGAGGAAAGCAUACUUGACGAAAGUGAUGAUGUUCCCUCCACCCCAGUUGGUGAGCUCAUAGAUUUCAGGGGGUUAGGGAAAAUAGAUAAAGCUUUUGUUCCACUGCUGGAAGAAGUCUGUUUGUGGCAUCCUUCGUUGAUUAGCUGCCAGAGGAAAAGAAGUCGUAUGUUUAGUGAAUGGGCAUUCACAGCUUUGGGUCGAGUAUUGCAUUUCUUGAACACCACAAAGGUUAGGGAUAUGAUGGAGGAUUCAUGUGAGCACGAUCCUUGUGAGCAUCUUCAAGUUUUAUGGGAGGAGGUUGAGGCCUUCAAAUUUGACUUGAGUUGGCUGCAGCCUUUUGUUCAAUCAGCUUUGGGAAUGAAGAAGUUUGGGGAGAGGGAAGGAGUAUUGAAGAAACUCGGAGAGGAUGUUGAUGCUUUAGAGACUGAAAUGAGGGGGUUGAGGGAGAGGCUAGCUGUUGCGGAGGUAGCUCACAGGCUUGCAAAAGGAGACCUGGAAAUAGCAGAGGAAAGCUUUGGCGAGGCAAAUAUGAAUAGCAAGCUUGGUUAUGGGAGGCAUUAGUAGCCUUGCUGCAGAAUUCUUUCUUUCAUACUCAGACAUUUGCAAUGUGUGCAAUAUAUCUAAAUGUAAUUCAGCUUUCCGAACGUGUAUCUAUGUAUGAGGGCUGCCUGUACUUAAGCUCAAUACAUAAGAGAAUAAAGGAGGCUGGUUUAGCUUGUAAUCCAUAUUUGAAACCAGUGAGCCGGUCACCAUUUCCAUUCUGGAUCAAACUUCUCGCUCAGAGCAGUGUCAGGUGUGAAGUAGUUUUUACCUUUUACCCUUUAAUUUUGAGUUGUAUGGGAAAUGAACCAGUAAUUGUUACCCUGGAUUUGUGCAACACUGUUUGUGGAAGUGCGCCAUUUUAUUAAGGGUAAAUUCCUCCUAUAGUACUUGAUGUAUCACCAAUUGGACAUGUUGAUACCCAACGUCAUGUGUAAAUUAUGUCGGAAUCUUCAUCCAUUAUAUCGGGAUGAAUUAAUAUUUUGUUUGAAACAUUGGAUUUUAUAUUUAAGAAAUUUAGAUGGUGUAAUCUAAACUGUCAUGAGAUCACUCCACCAAGGUAUAUCUAAUUAAUCCAUUAAAUUAAAAGUAAAGUAAUCGGUAUUCAGUUAUAAACAUAAAACAUAUGUGUUUUGUGGUUUCAUGUGUAUUAGGUCCGAAUCUAUAUCCAUUAUAUCAAAAUGAAUUAAUAUUUUGUUCGAAACAUAAUUGACUUUUAUAUUUAAGAAAUUUAAUCGGUGUAACCUAAACACUCGAUCACGCCACUCAUAUGAGGUUAUUGAGGUAUGUAAUAGGUGUUCAAAUCACAAAUACGUAUAUCUUAACACAUAAUUAAAUUUCGUAAUAUUUUAUCAACAUAACCAAAAACAUUAGUUCAUGCUUGUGUACUCCUAAAAGACCUAAAAAAUAAUGAAGACCUAAAGAUGGUCAUUGACCCACUAAACACGUGUUUUUCUUAUUUUAUAUUUAUAAAUAGGACCAAAAUGACACUUUUACCCUUAUUUAAUGGAAAAGUUAACGGGAAAUAUCAAACUAUCUAACUGAACAUAAUUUAUGGUAUCAAAGUGUUCUUGUUUAAACGUUAGGUACCUAAGUCUCUAAUUGGCCAUACAUCAUGUACCAUUGGAGAGGAGGAAUUUACCCUUUUAUUAAACAAUCAGCUACAUGAGUCUAUUGUUCUCAUUACAAAUGUCCCAGUCUAUACAGAUUGCCAGAUUGGGGAGUAAAGCAAUGUUGAAUUGCUCUCACUUGAAUUUGACAUUCGUCUAAAAUUGAACUAACUGAGCAAAAACUGCAGGCUGGUCCAAGUGUUUAUAGGGCUUUCUAUCUUAUUUUGAUUGUUGUACAUAUUCACUCGUAUGUUAGUUUGUAGUUUUUACUCUCUUUUUUUUUUUUUUGAAAAGAGGGUAAUCAGCCCCCUAUUUUAUUAAAAAUUAUAAAGGUAGUUUUUACUCAUAUUGUUGAGUUUUUAGUUACCACACCCAACUCUUAGACCGAGGACACAACGCCCCUCGUAGCUCGUCCGACGAUAACGCCGUGACUCCCGUGAGGGUGUGCCGCUGGACCCUGCAGCCUCUCUUCCUUGACGUACAAAAGUGUUGCUUACGGUUUUGGGAAAAGUCUCUCUCACUACUGAAUAAUAUCUUUUUCUCUCUCUAAAAAAAUAUAUAUAUAUAUAUACAUAUUAAUUUCCAUAUUUCAUUAAAAAAGGAAGCAUGUGAGUGAGAAGGAGGCAGUUUUUUUAAUUUUUUAUGUGAGAAAAUACAACAGUACAAACUACAAAGAAAAGCCCCGAUUCAGCCCCCUCCACUCAAAUCAAAGUAAAAAAGCAGGCGUGACUCGUGAGAAGGAGGCAGUUGUUGGGUCUCUUCUGUGGAUUUUUGUGUGUAUGGUCGUCUGUCUGGGCUGGCAAUCGGGUUUAUCUCGAGUGCGGAUGUUAGAGCUAAUUUGAUAUUGUUGUGACUUAAAAAAAAAAUUAAAACUAGUGUUGUUGUACUACGAAAAUAAUCGGUUGUGAAUUAAAACAGUUUUGAGUUUGGUAAAUAUUAUUUGUAAGUGUUGUCAGGAUAAAAUUUAUUAAUUUCUAAUGUUUUUAAUGAUAAUUAUUUUUAAAAGUAAAUUUCAGGAGUUGCUGCCAGUAACCCUGUAAUUUUUUAAAAAAAAACUGGUUUUUUUUAUUUAUCAAAUACUAUAAAAUUAAAAGUUCAGAUAAAAUCUGAUUUUUCUAAAAGCAAAACUAUACCAAACUAGAUCUUAGAGACGUGAAAAAUCAGCUUGAUUGAUUGAUCGUGCAAGGACUUGAUGAAUCUUGGCUAGUGGCUUUGUUUGUGUCUUUCUUUUUUUUGUUAUGUAUUUUGUGUCAAUCUUGUAAACUUUGUGAUCCAGAUGCUACUACUUUGGUUCCAAAUUCGUGUAUUCUUGGUAUUUCAAAGAAGGUUAUCUUAUAAGAAAAAUAUCAAGAGCAAAAUUGGAAAUAUCAAGAGCAAAAUUGGAAAUAUCAAGAGCAAAAUUGGAAAAUAUGAGACUGAUUGAUGAGAAACAAAGAAGAAAAAGGAAGAUUGCAAGCUGUUUUCAGAGUGUGACAGUCAGACAGUGCAGAGCCCCAGAUCUGAGCAGCAACUCCGGAGAGUCGAGUUGACGGGACCCACUGACGCGUUUGUGGCGCUGUGGCUUGCCACCCUGUCACCACCACAAAUAUCUAAGGCCUCUACUCUCUACACUACGUCCGUCUGCUCCAUCCACAAAUAUCUCAAACAAACCUCAACCACCACAUUUCACACAGACCCAACUCCUCUCUCUCUCUCUCUCUCUCUCUCUCUCUCUACUACUAGUCUUCAACUUCAAAAGGGUAAGCAUAGUACCGAUUCUCUGAAUCUAAACCAGCUUCUGCACGUUGCCUCUGUUACAUAUGACGUUCUUAAUGAUUUGAUUUGGUUACGUAUAGGUAUACAAGAACAUGGAAAACCAGCAGGCGGGUCAUGAGCUUAUAUCCAUGACAUACACCUGGACUAUUGACAACUUCUCCAAGCUCAAUACCCAGAAGCAUUACUCCGAUGGUUUCGUCGUCGGCGAUUUCAAAUGGUAUAUCUCAUCUCACACUCUCGUAAAGUCCCAGUUUGUGUUUGAGGUUUCAGGACAGUUUUUGCUUGCUUUUAUCGUUGUGGGAUUUCAGCGCUUUUGGUAAAACAUUCAUGUUUCUUAAGUUUGCAGUAGAUCGAAAACCACAAAUAUUAAAAGCAGGUCCUGCCUGUUUUUAACAUCUGCUUUUACAGAUCAGCUGUGUUUUUUCAGUGUUGUUCUGAUUGUUUGAUCAUAUUGGACUCAUUAGUCUUUGGGACAAGGCAGCUAAUAUCACCGAUCAGAACUUUUUGUUUUUGGGUUUUUUUUUCAUUCGGUCAAAUUAAUUGAACGGAGAUUGAUUUUACUGUUUUGAAUCAAAUUUUAAGCUAUGGGUACAGGUUGGUGAUCUCAUGUACUGAUUAUAGCUCAAGAUUACCCUUUGCGUUAUUUGCGUCUUGUUUCUCUCCGUGGAGUUUUCUGUUAUUUUCUUCAAGUUUUUUUAUUUGUUAGAUUCACCAAGGUUGAUCAAUUAUACAAAGUUUUUGACAGGAAGCUUGAAUUGCGUAUAACUUUCAUAUAUACACUCUCAAUAUCAUACAAAGUUAUUGGUAAAUGGUUAUUUCGAAUCGAUCAUGAGAAUCUUGGAGUGGGGAGUUCACAAAAUAUAGACUUUCUGAAAUCAUGUUCAUGGAUAGAGGUUAUCUUCUUCUUUUUGAUCAAUACAUGAAGAGAGUUUAAUGAAUAGUCACUUGUUUUAUAUGAUUUACAUGAACGCAGAGGGUCUUAUUUUGUUCUUGUUCAUGCCUAAAAUCAUAAUUUUUUUAACAUGAGAGAAAUUCCUUGAGGGAAUCUGAACUUUUUGAAUUCAUGGACAUCCUCAUGACAAGAGUUUGCUGAGGCAAGGCAAAUCAUCUUGGCUAUGACUAAGACUAUCAUGUCUAUUUUGAUUUAAGUAUACCUGAUUAUUCUGUUGUUAGAUUCACGGUACCAAACAGAUUUGCUUCACAGCUUCAUAGCUGAGUGUCUUUGAAAGAUUAUUCUCACUGCUUCACAAACUUACUUGGUUUUUUUCUUUUAUCAGGCGGAUUGUGGUGUACCCAAAGGGGAGCAAUGGGAAGCAAUACUUGUCCAUGUACUUGAAUGUGGCAGAUGCUUCAAAGUUACCAUCUGGGUGGAGUAGAUAUGCCGAGUUCACCUUAACUGUCGUUAAUCAAUUUAACGGCGACAAGUCGAUAACCAUAGGUAUAUUUCUUCAUGAUGUUACUCUCUUCUUCAUCUUGUUUGUCCAUCUCACUUUUUCUGCUUGGGCCUUUUUCUCUUAUUCAAUUGCAAGCUGAUUUGUUAAUGCAGUAGAAUGAUUCUACUUUAGAUUGCAACUCAAUGUCUGAGUGGCUUUCUUUACUUAAAGCACUGUGUUACUCUUUGCUAUUUCUCUCACUUAAUCUAUUAAGCGAACCAAACACACUACAUUUGCUCAUUUCUUUCUG
rnacentral:lncRNA from 1 species